CGUUAACGGCGUCGAGCGGCGGACGGGUGAGUAAUGCCUAGGAAAUUGCCCUGAUGUGGGGGAUAACCAUUGGAAACGAUGGCUAAUACCGCAUAAUGCCUUCGGGCCAAAGAGGGGGACCUUCGGGCCUCUCGCGUCAGGAUAUGCCUAGGUGGGAUUAGCUAGUUGGUGAGGUAAGGGCUCACCAAGGCGACGAUCCCUAGCUGGUCUGAGAGGAUGAUCAGCCACACUGGAACUGAGACACGGUCCAGACUCCUACGGGAGGCAGCAGUGGGGAAUAUUGCACAAUGGGCGCAAGCCUGAUGCAGCCAUGCCGCGUGUAUGAAGAAGGCCUUCGGGUUGUAAAGUACUUUCAGCAGUGAGGAAGGUGGUGUAGUUAAUAACUGCAUCAUUUGACGUUAGCUGCAGAAGAAGCACCGGCUAACUCCGUGCCAGCAGCCGCGGUAAUACGGAGGGUGCGAGCGUUAAUCGGAAUUACUGGGCGUAAAGCGCAUGCAGGUGGUUUGUUAAGUCAGAUGUGAAAGCCCGGGGCUCAACCUCGGAAUUGCAUUUGAAACUGGCAGACUAGAGUACUGUAGAGGGGGGUAGAAUUUCAGGUGUAGCGGUGAAAUGCGUAGAGAUCUGAAGGAAUACCGGUGGCGAAGGCGGCCCCCUGGACAGAUACUGACACUCAGAUGCGAAAGCGUGGGGAGCAAACAGGAUUAGAUACCCUGGUAGUCCACGCCGUAAACGAUGUCUACUUGGAGGUUGUGGCCUUGAGCCGUGGCUUUCGGAGCUAACGCGUUAAGUAGACCGCCUGGGGAGUACGGUCGCAAGAUUAAAACUCAAAUGAAUUGACGGGGGCCCGCACAAGCGGUGGAGCAUGUGGUUUAAUUCGAUGCAACGCGAAGAACCUUACCUACUCUUGACAUCCAGAGAAGCCAGUAGAGAUACAGGUGUGCCUUCGGGAACUCUGAGACAGGUGCUGCAUGGCUGUCGUCAGCUCGUGUUGUGAAAUGUUGGGUUAAGUCCCGCAACGAGCGCAACCCUUAUCCUUGUUUGCCAGCGAGUAAUGUCGGGAACUCCAGGGAGACUGCCGGUGAUAAACCGGAGGAAGGUGGGGACGACGUCAAGUCAUCAUGGCCCUUACGAGUAGGGCUACACACGUGCUACAAUGGCGCAUACAGAGGGCAGCAAGCUAGCGAUAGUGAGCGAAUCCCAAAAAGUGCGUCGUAGUCCGGAUUGGAGUCUGCAACUGGACUCCAUGAAGUCGGAAUCGCUAGUAAUCGUGGAUCCGAAUGCCACGGUGAAUACGUUCCCGGGCCUUGUACACACCGCCCGUCACACCAUGGGAGUGGGCUGCAAAAGAAGUCAGGUAGU
rnacentral:rRNA from 1 species